rfam:Triticum aestivum genome assembly, contig: Triticum_aestivum_CS42_TGACv1_scaffold_131355_2BL
CCCAUCACAGAGAACGAACUCGUCUCCCACAUCAUAUCUGGUCUUGACAUGGACUAUCGACCAAUCAUCUCUGCACUUGAGGUGCGUCUUGAUGAUGUCACCGUCGAUGAGCUCUUCAACAUGGUGGCUACCUUUGAUC